AACGAACGCUGGCGGCAGGCCUAACACAUGCAAGUCGAACGGACCCCUCGGGGUUAGUGGCGGACGGGUGAGUAACACGUGGGAACGUGCCUCUAGGUUCGGAAUAGCUCCUGGAAACGGGUGGUAAUGCCGAAUGUGCCCUUAGGGGGAAAGAUUUAUCGCCUUUAGAGCGGCCCGCGUCUGAUUAGCUAGUUGGUGAGGUAAUAGCUCACCAAGGCUACGAUCAGUAGCUGGUCUGAGAGGAUGACCAGCCACAUUGGGACUGAGACACGGCCCAAACUCCUACGGGAGGCAGCAGUGGGGAAUCUUGCGCAAUGGGCGAAAGCCUGACGCAGCCAUGCCGCGUGGAUGAUGAAGGUCUUAGGAUUGUAAAAUCCUUUCACCGGUGAAGAUAAUGACUGUAGUCGGAGAAGAAGCCCCGGCUAACUUCGUGCCAGCCGCCGCCGUAAGAC
rnacentral:rRNA from 1 species